UAAGUGCUGAAAGCAUCUAAGCACGAAACUUGCCCCGAGAUGAGUUCUCCCUGACCCUUUAAGGGUCCUGAAGGAACGUUGAAGACGACGACGUUGAUAGGCCGGGUGUGUAAGCGCAGCGAUGCGUUGAGCUAACCGGUACUAAUGAACCGUGAGGCUUAACCUUACAACGCCGAAG
rnacentral:rRNA from 1 species